GUUUCUGUAGUGUAGUGGUUAUCACGUUCGCCUAACACGCGAAAGGUCCAGGUUCGAAACCGGGCAGAAGAACA
rnacentral:tRNA from 1 species